UACGGAGGGUGCGAGCGUUGUCCGGAAUCACUGGGCGUAAAGGGCGCGUAGGCGGUCCGGUAAGCGUGUGGUGAAAGCCCGGGGCUCAACCCCGGGUCUGCCGUGCGGACUGCCGGACUCGAGCACUGUAGAGGCAGGUGGAAUUCCGAGUGUAGCGGUGAAAUGCGUAGAGAUGUGGAGGAACACCAGUGGCGAAGGCGACUCUUUGGCCUGUAACUGACACUGAGGCGCGAAAGCGUGGGGAGCAAACAGG
rnacentral:rRNA from 1 species